GUGGGUGCACUUAAGAUAAAAGAGAUAAAUUAUUAUUGAACAUUCAUAUAGUCAAAUUCCAGGUUUUGUUUUGAUUACAGCUUGUACAAUUGCCUCCAUCCUUAAGGGGUUAAUUGAUGAUAUGACUACAUCUCUCUAUAUUGUUCCAGAAAGUACAGCUCUGAAUUCCAGCCAGACAGAACUCAUUCAACAUUUCCCAUUCACAAGACUCCGAGCAUUCACUGAAAUGUUCA